rnacentral:rRNA from 1 species
ACGAACGCUGGCGGCGUGCUUAACCCAUGCAAGUCGAACGGGCCCGCUCUCUUUUUUGGGGGUGGGUUGAGUGGCGAACGGGUGAGUAUCACGUGAGUAACCUGCCCCCUGCUCCUGGAUAACUGCUUGAAAGGGCGGCUAAUACGGGGUGUGCCGGCUGGUCCGCAUGGGCCUGGUCGGGAUAGUUUCAUCUUCGGGUGUUUCGGUGGGGGAUGGGCUCGCGGCCUAUCAGCUUGUUGGUGGGGUGAUGGCCCACCAAGGCGGUGACGGGUAGCCGGCCUGAGAGGGUGGGCGGCCACACUGGGACUGAGACACGGCCCAGACUGCUGCGGGAGGCAGCAGUGGGGGGUAUUGCACAAUGGGCGGAAGCCUGAUGCAGCGACGUCGCGUGAGGAAUGGAGGCCUUCGGGUUGUGAACCUCUUUCUCCGGUGGUGAAGGCCCUGUCCGUUGCGGCGGGGUUGACGGUAGCCGGGUAUGAAGCGCCGGCUAACUACGUG